rnacentral:rRNA from 1 species
CCGUAACUAUAACGGUCCUAAGGUAGCGAAAUUCCUUGUCGGGUAAGUUCCGACCCGCACGAAAGGCGUAAUGAUUUGAGCGCUGUCUCAACAAUGCACCCGGUGAAAUUGAAAUACCAGUGAAGAUGCUGGUUACCUGCGCCAGGACGGAAAGACCCCAUGGAGCUUUACUCCAGUUUGGUACUGGGACUCGGUAUUGCAUGUACAGGAUAGGUGGGAGGCUGAGAACACAUGACGCCAGUUGUGUGGGAGCCGCUGUUGGGAUACCACCCUUGCAGUAUUGGGUUUCUAACCAGCCGCCGUAAGCCGGCGGUGGGACAAUGCCAGGCGGGGAGUUUGACUGGGGCGGUCGCCUCCGAAAGGGUAUCGGAGGCGCUCAAAGGUUCCCUCAGAAUGGUCGGAAACCAUUCGAAGAGUGCAAAGGCAGAAGGGAGCUUGACUGCGACACCGACGGGUGGAGCAGGUACGAAAGUAGGACUUAGUGAUCCGGUGGUAUAACGUGGGAUUGCCAUCGCUCAACGGAUAAAAGCUACCCUGGGGAUAACAGGCUUAUCACUCCCAAGAGUUCACAUCGACGGAGUGGUUUGGCACCUCGAUGUCGGCUCAUCGCAUCCUGGGGCUGUAGUAGGUCCCAAGGGUUGGGCUGUUCGCCCAUUAAAGCGGUACGCGAGCUGGGUUCAGAACGUCGUGAGACAGUUCGGUCCCUAUCCGGCGUGGGCGUAGGAUAUUUGAGAGGAGCUGCCCUUAGUACGAGAGGACCGGGGUGGACGGGCCGCUGGUGUAUCUGUUGGUUUGCCAAAGCCAUGGCAGAGUAGCCAAGCCCGGCAGGGAUAAACGCUGAAGGCAUCUAAGCGUGAAGCCCCCCUCAAGAUGAGAUAUCCCAUAACGUCAAGUUAGUAAGACCCCUUGAAGACGACGAGGUAGAUAGGGCAGAGGUGGAAGUG